rnacentral:ncRNA from 1 species
GGCGCAGCAGUUGACUGGACAUCUAGGGGUAAAGCACUGUUUCGGUGCGGGCUGCGCGAGCGGUACCAAAUCGAGGCAAACUCUGAAUACUAGAUAUGACCCAAAAAUAACAGGGGUCAAGGUCGGCCAGUGAGACGAUGGGUGAUAAGCUUCAUCGUCGAGAGGGAAACAGCCCGGAUCACCAGCUAAGGCCCCUAAAUGACCGCUCAGUGAUAAAGGAGGUGGGGGUGCAAAGACAGCCAGGAGGUUUGCCUAGAAGCAGCCACCCUUUAAAGAGUGCGUAAUAGCUCAC